GGAGAGGUGCUCGAGUGGUUGAAGAGGCACGCCUGGAAAGCGUGUAUACGCCAAAAGUGUAUCGAGAGUUCGAAUCUCUUCCUCUCCG
rnacentral:tRNA from 1 species